GACGAACGCUGGCGGCGUGCUUAACACAUGCAAGUCGAACGGGAUGAUCUUAAAGCUUGCUUUUAGAGAAUCUAGUGGCAAACGGGUGAGUAACACGUAGACAACCUGCCGACAGGAUGGGGACAACAUUCCGAAAGGAAUGCUAAUACCGAAUGAAGUCAGAGAAGGGCAUCCUUUUCUGAUGAAAGAUGGCCUCUGAAUAUGCUAUCACCUGUCGAUGGGUCUGCGUCUGAUUAGCUGGUUGGUGAGGUAACGGCUCACCAAGGCGACGAUCAGUAGCCGGUCUGAGAGGAUGAACGGCCACAUUGGGACUGAGACACGGCCCAGACUCCUACGGGAGGCAGCAGUGGGGAAUCUUCCGCAAUGGGCGCAAGCCUGACGGAGCAACGCCGCGUGAGUGAAGAAGGUCUUCGGAUCGUAAAGCUCUGUUGAUGGGGACGAACGUGCGAAGGGUGAAUAAUCCUUUGUA
rnacentral:rRNA from 1 species